AAGGUUAUGUUUACGGUUGCCAUGCCAACACUCUGCGGCCGUCUGGUUUGGCUCUACGUGUAGAUAACGUUGUGAGGUGGAAGACGAAGAAAGCCAAGUGGUAUUUAUUGUUUAUAAGUUGAUGUUCGUAAGACACAAGCUUGUCUUGUCAUUUGUUGCAUUAUCUUUACUGUUUCGCUCUUUUUUCCACGCACGCUCUUUAGUGCAGAGCUCGCUAGCGGAGAGGUCCGGGUCUAAGACUUGAUUAGCGCCCUUGGAGAGCGGAAUGAGUGUACGGAUUUAUGAAUUACAAGCAAUAACGCUUUGAUCGAUGUGGGGGGAGGGAAAAGCCCCGUUUUCCAGCCGACAGAAAAGCAGCAGCAUAUGAGUGUGUGGAGUCACCUAUAGAAAGUCUGGUGGAAAAGGCUUCAAUUUAUUAAACAAAAAUAUGGAGAAAACUUCCUCUUUAUGCCAGGGGCAGUGGAAACAUCCACUGACUGUAACCUUCAUCAAAGCUUGUGCCUACCAGUGAAAUGUGGAAUGUUCCAUCACAUCUUCAACAUGGGCCUGAAUCUGCAAAGAGUCCACAUGCUGAGGAAGUGGUGAUGCCUCAUACCUGUGCAGAAGAUCUCACAUCUCAGUGGCACCUAACUACAGAUGCAUGGCACUGACAACACACAUCAUUAAGGCCUUGGAGAAAUUUAUCCUGGACCAGCUCCAGCCUAUAGUCAGACCUCUGAUGGACCUUCUCCAGUUUGCCUAUCAGCCCCUGCAGCUAUUGCAAACAGACCUGCCACCUUCAGGAGCUUUUUGAUGACUCAGCAGUAGUGGGACAUAUCAGUGAGGGCAAUGAGAAAGAGUACAGGGCUGUGGUAGAAAAAGAAACAGAAGUUGGUUGUGGACAUGAGGAGGACCAAAACACCAGUGACGCCCUGUUUCCAUCCAUGGGGUUUGUGUGGAGACAGUGGAAACUUACAAAUACCUGAGUGUUCCUUCCUACACUAACAAUAAACUGGACUUCAGUAAAAACACAAAAGCCCUCAACAAAACGGGUUCUGUUUUCUGAGGUUGCUGAGGUCUUUUAAAAGAUGGUCAGACAAUGCUCUGUGGUUAGUGGCAUCUUCUACGCUGUGGUGUGCUGGAGGAGUAGACUGAAGCUAGCAGACACCAAGAGACUUGAAAAAAAAAUGAAUCCAAAAGGCCAAAAGCAUUGUGGGUGUUCAGCUUGACUCCCUGAGUCUCUGUAAUGUGCUUCACAGUUACAGCAGCACAUUCAGCAAAAGACUCCACCACAAUGUACCACAGAUCACUACAGGAAAUCAUUCCUACAUGUGGCCAACAAACUCUACAAUUCCUCCCUAUGACACCUGGGUAAUAUUCACUGCAGUUAUCUUGUACAUAUUGUACAUAAUAUUGCUUUAACUUUCUGUGUGUAGAUUGCAUGUUCUCCCUGUGUCUGGAUGGAUGGAUGGAUGGAUGGAUGGAGUAUUUAUUUUGACGCACCACAGUUUCCUCCCUGGGAUUAA